CAAAAUGGCAGCGCCCAUACCAAGUAUUGUAAGGAUUUUAUGCCGUGUGUCCGCUUUACUUAAUCGAAUAUUCUGCAGAAUCUGGUAUUUGACAAUUAUUGUCUAUAGUACAUCAGAUAAGCAAAAGCUUGGACGUCUGCUGCGCACACACAUCACGAAACAGUGACCGAGCUAAAGUGUGCAGUCCAGCCUGUCUGUGCACUGCAGCCUGAUACCCCCAGUGAUGCAGUGGAGGCUCUUGCCACCGACAGAGCAAAGAGUACAUAGAGUGCUAUGGACAAGUCCAGUGUGGUCUGACUACAGGAGGAACCACAAUGGAGGGAUCCUCCCUUCAGAAGACACACACAACCUACAUUAGAUGAGACAAGAUAUUUGGGAACCCCCAUCCAAUUUGUCGAGACCCCAACGUCAUCAUCCACUAUCAGGUUUGGUCUCUCACAUUGACUUAUGGAAUACACACACACACACACACAAUCAUUACGAGAGAUGGAAAAUUAGAUGGCAUUUCCUUUGAUUUUGUGAGGUUGAUUUUAACAAGCUAUUCAAUGUUAUGUUUGGUAAGCAAUGGACCAUUGUCUUUCUGCAAAAUGUGAAGCUGCUGCAACAGUUUAUCAGUCCAUAUACAGGCGUAGUGUAUGACCCCACACGGACAGGUAAGAUACAGUAUCUACAGAAAGUAUUCAUACCCGUUGACUUGUUCCAAAUUUUAUGUUAUAGCCAUAUUCUAAAUGGAUUAAAAACUAUUUAAAAAAUCCUCAGCAAUCUGCACACAAUAAAUACCCCAUAAUGACAAAGCAAAAACAGUAAAAAAAAUAAAAUAUAUAACUGAUACCUUAAUUACAUAAGUAUUCAGACCCUUUGCUAUGCGACUUGAAAUUGAGCACAGGUGCAUCCUGUUUCCAUUGAUCAUCCUUGAGAUGUUUCAACAACUUGAUUGGAGUUCACCUGUGAUCAUUUCAAUUGAUUGGACAUGUUUUGGAAAGGCACCCACCUGUCGAUGAGGUCCCACAGUUGACAGAGCAAAAACCAAGCCAUGAGGCCGGGCCGGCCAAACUGAGCAAUUGUAGGAGAAGGGCCUUAGUCAGGGAGGUGACUAAGAGCCCGAUGGUCACUCUGACAGAGUUCCUCUGUGGAGAUAGAACUUUCCAGAAGGACAACCAUAUCUGCAGCACUCCACCAAUCAGGGAUUAAUAGUAGAGUGGACAGACAGGAGCCACUCCUCAGUAAAAUGCACAUGACUGCCCGCUUGGAGUUUGCCAAAAGGCACCUAAUGACUCUCAGACCAUGAAACCCAAGAUUGAACUCUUUGGCCUGAAUGCCAAGCAUCACGUCUGGAGGAAACCUGGCACCAUCCCUACGGUGAAGCAUGGUGGUGGCAGCAUCGUGUUGUGGGUAUGUUUUUCGGCAGCAGGGACAGGGAGACUAUUCAGGAUCGAGGCAAAGAUGAACGGUGCAAAGUACAGAGUGAUCCUUAAUGAAAACCUGCUCCAGAGUGCUCAGGACCUCAGACUGGGGUGAAGUUUCACCUUCCAACAAGACUACGACCCUAAUCACACAGCCAAGACAACGCAGGAGUGGCUUCUGGACAAGUCUCUGAAUGUCCUUGAGUGGCCCAGCCAGUGCCCGGAUUUAUACCUGAUCGAACAUCUCUGGAGAGACCUGAAAAUAGCUGUGCAGCGACACUCCCAUCCAUCCUGACAGAGCUAGAGAUGAUCUGCAGAGAAGAAUGGGAAAGACUCCCCAAAUACAGGUGUGCCAAUCUUGUAGCACCAUACCCAAGAAGACUCUAGGCUGUAAUCGGUCAAAGGUGCUUGAACAAAGUACAGAGUAAAGGGUCUGAAUAGUUAUGUAAAUGUGAUAUUUCCCCAAACAUGUUUUUGCUUUGUUGUCAUUGGGUGUUGAUUGUGUGUAGAUUGAUGAAGAAAAACAUUUUUUUUAGUCCUUUUUAGAAUAAGGCUGGAACCGAACAAAAUGUGGAAAAUGUCAAGGGGUCUGAAUGCUUUCCGAAGGCAAUGUUUGUGUUCAAUUUAUGUAAUGUGAAAACAAUUUUAUGAAUGACUCUGAAUCAACCGUGAUGAUUUCUGCAGGUGUUAUCUACAUUUUGCGUUGGACUUGUAACCGAAAGGUUGCAAGAUCGAAUCCCCGAGCUGACAAGGUGAAAAUCUGUCCUUCUGCCCCUGAACAAGUCAGUUAACCCACUGUUCCGAGGCCAUCAUUGAAAAUAAGAAUUUGUUCUUUACUGACUUGCCUAGUUAAAUAAAGGUAAAAAAUAAUAUAUAAAAAAAAUGCUUGCUGGUUUCAUCGAAAAAUGUUGUCUUUGAUUAAAUGAAUUUACACACACAGCCAAGAAUCUGAGAGGCUGCCAAUAGGUGUUUCAGUGAUGAAAACCUUUCUGCAUAAAGUAACAUCUGGUUCAAGACUGUUCCUAGGCCGUCAUUGAAAAUAAGAAUUUGUUCUUAACUGACUUGCCUGGUUAAAUAAAGGUAAAAUUAAAAAAUUAAAGACAACAGAUCUAUAACACUUCUAUGUGAAUUUGGUCAGGUAGCCCAAAAUCACAUAUUGCAGAUUUAAAACAAAAUUGUGUUUUAUUUGUUUGUUUUCAUGGCAACAUAGUUUUUUUUAAACUAGCAGGUAGCAGUUGCAAUUUUGAUAAAGCAUCACUGAUUCAUUCCAGCCUCUUCUCACAGGCUACAACUUAAAAUCUAAUACAUUUUCCUCACAUGCUUCACAGACAGUAGGUAGACUAACAGUGACAUGCUUACUUACGGGCCCCUUCCCAACAAUGCAGAAAAAUAAUAAGGAAUAACUGUAACAAUAACUUUGCUAUAUCCACGGGGUACCAGUACCAAUAUGCAGAGGUACAAGGUAAUUGAAGAUAUUUAUUUAACCCUUAAUUAAGAAAGUCAGUUAAGAACAAAUGUUCAUUUACAAUGACAGCCUACCCCGGAAAACCCCUAACCACGCUGGACCAAUUGUGCGUUGCCCUAUGGGACUCCCAAUCACAGCUAGUUGUAAUACAGCUUGGAAUCAAACCAGGGUCUGUAGUGACACCUCUAGCACUGAGAUGCAGUGCCUUAGACCGCUGUGCCACUCAGAGGUGUGUAUUUAUAUAUAUUGGUAGAGGUAAAGUGACUUGGCAACAGGAUGACUGAUAAGUGAAUUAUCAGCUCAUGUACAGUACAUGCCACUUACCAUAUGUGCCAUUGAUGAGAUAAAUCUGUCUAAUCUGCUCAAUUGUAUUCAGAGACAUUGUAAUAAAUAAAGACAUUGCAAAAUCCAUUUAAUUUCCUUUUUGUCUUUAGUAAAUUCUAUGAUCAUACAGGUGUCAACAUGUUUAUUCCCAGGUAAUAAGAGCUUGGUUUCUACAUGUGUGGAUCCACUGGUAAUGUAUUGCCAUUUCCUCUAUAAUAGAAAUACUUCAGCAUAUUGCUAUUUCUGCCCCAUUGUCACCUGGGUGAGACAUGCCCACUUGUCCAGUCAAAUUCUGAAUUCCAAAUCACACCCUAUCUUUUCAGAUAUACAGUUGUGUGGAGGGGGCAAGGUGGCAAAUUGGACUCAAGAAAAUGUAUGCAUCUCAUAGGCUGAGAGGAUACUGCAGUACACCAGGGGUGUAUUCUCAAUACUCUUUUAACGUGGCUUCCUCGCCACACCUUUCUUCAAAUAAACUGAUUUGGGAGACUUAAGUGAUGAACGAUCAGGUGAGACAAGGAAACAAAGCCACGUUAGACUAUCGAGAUGCACUGAGCUAAUGACAUAGUCAGCUUCAGUGGUAGGUUAUUUUGCAUUACAUUUCCAUUUCCUCCUGGGUCUGUUCAAAAUGGUACUCUAUUCCCUACAUAGUGCAGUACAUUUGACCAGGGCUCUGGUGAGAAAUGGUGCAGUACAGGGAAUAGAGUGCCAAUAGAGCCCUGGUUCUGCAGUAGGUGGGUCACUCUUUGACCUUGUGGACCAGGGUCUCCCCCAGUGACUCCAGGACCUCCCGUUUGUAGUCCUCGAAGUCCCCGUCUAUCUGGCUUACACCACUCCAGCAGACGCUUGGCAUUGUGCAUGGUGAUUUUAGGCUUGUGUGCUGCUGUUUGGCCAUGGAAACGCAUUUCAUUAAGCUCCCAACAAACAUUCGUGCUGACGUUGCUUUCAGAGGCAGUUUGGAACUCUGUAGAGUGUUGCAACAGAGGACAGACAAUAUCUUCACGCUACAGCACUUGCCGGUCCCGUUCUGUGAGCUUGUGUGGCUUACCACUUCGAGGCUCAGCAGUUGUUGCUCCCAGACGUUUCCACUCCACAAUAACAGCACUCACAGUUGACCUGGGCAGUUCUAGCUGAGCAGAAAUUUGACUUACUGACUUGUUGGAAAGGUGGCAUCCUAUGACGGUGCCACGUUGAAAGUCACUGAGUUCUUCAGUACAGGCCAUUCUACUUACAAUGUUUGGGCGGGGUUGUGGCAGCUAAAAUAAAGCUAUUCCGACGAACAAACUGGAGGCAAAACUAGUAAUGAAAUGUCAAUUAAUUGAAGAAAACGUAUUUUAUUAGGUAUUCAAAUUCCUCGACGGCCA